rnacentral:rRNA from 1 species
GACGAACGCUGGCGGCGUGCUUAACACAUGCAAGUCGAACGGAAAGGCCCUGCUUUUGUGGGGUGCUCGAGUGGCGAACGGGUGAGUAACACGUGAGUAACCUGCCCUUGACUUUGGGAUAACUUCAGGAAACUGGGGCUAAUACCGGAUAGGAGCUCCUGCUGCAUGGUGGGGGUUGGAAAGUUUCGGCGGUAGGGGAUGGACUCGCGGCUUAUCAGCUUGUUGGUGGGGUAGUGGCUUACCAAGGGUUUGACGGGUCGCCGGCCUGAGAGGGUGACCGGCGACAAUGGGACUGAGAUACGGCGCAGAGUGCUAUGGGAGGCAGCAGUGGGGAAUAUGGUACAAUGGGAGGAAGCCUGAUGCAGAAACGCCGCGUGCGGGAUGACGGUCUGCGGGUUGUAAACCGCUUUCGCCUGUGACGACGCGUGAGUGACGGUAAUGGGUAAAGAAGCACCGGCUAACUACGUG